rnacentral:rRNA from 1 species
UACGGGGGGAGCAAGCGUUGUUCGGAUUUACUGGGCGUAAAGGGCGCGUAGGCGGCCAGCACAAGUCAGUUGUGAAAUCUCCGAGCUUAACUCGGAAAGGUCAACUGAUACUGUGCGGCUGGAGUGCGGAAGGGGCAACUGGAAUUCUCGGUGUAGCGGUGAAAUGCGUAGAUAUCGAGAGGAACACCUGCGGCGAAGGCGGGUUGCUGGGCUGACACUGACGCUGAGGCGCGAAAGCUAGGGGAGCGAACGGG